rnacentral:rRNA from 1 species
AGCGAACGCUGGCGGCAGGCUUAACACAUGCAAGUCGAGCGGGCGGAGCAAUACGUCAGCGGCAAACGGGUGAGUAACGGGUGGGAACGUACCGUCUGGUUCGGAACAACAAAGGGAAACUUGAGCCAAUACCGGAUAAGGUCUUACGGGGAAAGAUUUAUCGCAGAAAGAUCGGCGCGCGUCCGAUUAGCUAGUUGGUGAGGUUACGGCUCACCAAGGCGACGAUCAGUAGCUGGUCUGGGAGGAUGAUCAGCCACAUUGGGACUGAGACACGGCCCAAACUCCUCCGGGAGGCAGCAGUGGGGAAUAUUGGACAAUGGGCGCAAGCCUGAUCCAGCCAUGCCGCGUGAGUGAUGAAGGCCCUAGGGUUGUAAAGCUCUUUUGUGAUGGAAGAUAAUGACGGUACCGCAAGAAUAAGCCCCGGCUAACUUCGUGCCAGCCGCCGCCGUAAUAC